GACGAACGCUGGCGGCGUGCCUACUACAUGCAAGUCGAGCGAAGCGGCGGAUGGGUGAGUAAAGCCUGGGUAACCUGCCCUUAAGUCUGGGAUACAAUUUGGAAACAGAUGCUAAUACCGGAUACUAAAGGAUGGCCCUACGAUGCAUUAGCUAGUGGAGAAGGUAACGGCGUACCAAGGCGAUGCUGGAUAGCCGGUUUGAGGGACUGAUCGGCCACAUUGGGACUGAGACACGGCCCAAACUCCUACGGGAGGCAGCAGUAGGGAAUCUUCCACAAUGGACGAAAGUCUGAUGGAGCAACGCCGCGGGAGUGAAGAAGGUUUUCGGAUCGUAAAGCUCUGUUGUUGGUGAAGCGGUAAUCAACCAGAAAGUCACGGCUAACUACGUGCCAGCAGCCGCGGUAAUUC
rnacentral:rRNA from 1 species